UACGUAGGGUGCAGGCGUUAAUCGGAAUUACUGGGCGUAAAGCGUGCGCAGGCGGUUUGCUAAGACAGGUGUGAAAUCCCCGGGCUUAACCUGGGAACUGCAUUUGUGACUGCAUGGCUAGAGUGCGGCAGAGGGGGAUGGAAUUCCGCGUGUAGCAGUGAAAUGCGUAGAUAUGCGGAGGAACACCGAUGGCGAAGGCAAUCCCCUGGGCCUGCACUGACGCUCAUGCACGAAAGCGUGGGGAGCAAACAGG
rnacentral:rRNA from 1 species